AUUGAACGCUGGCGGCAGGCCUAACACAUGCAAGUCGAGCGGAUGAAGGGAGCUUGCUCCUGGAUUCAGCGGCGGACGGGUGAGUAAUGCCUAGGAAUCUGCCUGGUAGUGGGGGAUAACGUCCGGAAACGGGCGCUAAUACCGCAUACGUCCUGAGGGAGAAAGUGGGGGAUCUUCGGACCUCACGCUAUCAGAUGAGCCUAGGUCGGAUUAGCUAGUUGGUGGGGUAAAGGCCUACCAAGGCGACGAUCCGUAACUGGUCUGAGAGGAUGAUCAGUCAAACUGGAACUGGGAAACGGUCCAGACUCCUAAGGGAGGCAGCAGGGGGGAAUAUUUGACCAUGGGCGAAAGCCUGAUCCAGCCAUGCCGCGUGUGUGAAGAAGGUCUUCGGAUUGUAAAGCACUUUAAGUUGGGAGGAAGGGCAGUAAGUUAAUACCUUGCUGUUUUGACGUUACCAACAGAAUAAGCACCGGCUAACUUCGUG
rnacentral:rRNA from 1 species